rnacentral:rRNA from 1 species
GACGAACGCUGGCGGCGUGCCUAACACAUGCAAGUCGAACGAGGUCCAAGGGAGCUUGCUCCCUGACGACCUAGUGGCGAACGGGUGAGUAACACGUGAGAAACCUGCCUCGGAGUGGGGAAUAACUCGGGGAAACUCGAGCUAAUACCGCAUACCUUCACAUGAUCGCAUGGUCGAGUGAAGAAAGAAUUUCGCUCUGAGAGGGUCUCGCGGCCUAUCAGCUUGUUGGUGGGGUAACGGCCUACCAAGGCAACGACGGGUAGCUGGUUUGAGAGAACGAUCAGCCACACUGGGACUGAGACACGGCCCAGACUCCUACGGGAGGCAGCAGUGGGGAAUCUUGCGCAAUGGGCGAAAGCCUGACGCGGCAACGCCGCGUGCGGGAUGACGGCCUUCGUGGUUGUAAACCGCUUUCAGCAGGGACGAAAAUGACGGUACCUGCAGAAGAAGCCCCGGCUAACUACGUGCCAGCCGCCGCGGUAAAAC